rnacentral:rRNA from 1 species
UACGGAGGGUGCAAGCGUUAUCCGGAUUCACUGGGUUUAAAGGGUGCGUAGGUGGCUAUGUAAGUCAGUGGUGAAAGCCCGCGGCUCAACCGUGGAAUUGCCAUUGAAACUGACAUAGCUUGAGUACAGUUGAAGUGGGCGGAAUAUGUCAUGUAGCGGUGAAAUGCUUAGAUAUGACAUAGAACACCGAUUGCGAAGGCAGCUCACUAAGCUGUAACUGACACUGAGGCACGAAAGCGUGGGUAGCGAACAGG